rnacentral:rRNA from 1 species
CCCUUAGAUGUUCUGGGCCGCACGCGCGCUACACUGACGAAUGCAACGAGCUUAUAACCUUGGCCGAAAGGUCUGGGUAAUCUCCAAAUUUCGUCGUGAUGGGGAUAGAUUAUUGCAAUUAUUAAUCUUCAACGAGGAAUGCCUAGUAAGCGCAAGUCAUCAGCUUGCGUUGAUUACGUCCCUGCCCUUUGUACACACCGCCCGUCGCUCCUACCGAUUGAAUGGUCCGGUGAAGCGUUCGGACCGUGGCCUUUGGACGGUUCGCCGUCUGUUGGCUGCGGGAAGUUCGUUAAACCUUUUCAUUUAGAGGAAGGAGAAGUCGUAACA